rnacentral:rRNA from 1 species
CACGCUGUAAACAAUGGAUGCUAGGUGUUUGGUAUGACCACUUUCUAUCUUCGGAUUCUAAGUGGAAGUAUUAAGUGCCGCAGCUAACGCGUUAAGCAUCCCGCCUGGGAAGUACGGCCGCAAGGCUAAAACUCAAAUGAAUUGGCGGGGACCCGCACAAGCGGAGUAGCGCGUGGUUUAAUUCGAUGGCAAUCGAACAACCUUACCAGGGUUUGACAUGUAUCUGCAUAUCUUUGGAAACAUAGAUAGCCUUCGAGGGUUAUACACAGGUAC